UUCAUUAGAUUACAUUCUCCCAAUCACAUAUUCCUUGGACUUUAUCGUUUAAGCAUAUAACAUUUAUAUGAAACGGCUCAAACAAUAAUGUAUGCCCUUUAUAUGUAAAACUAGAUUAGUUUAACAUGUGAAAUGUUCGUAAAGUAUCAUCACAUGAUUGGCUUUAGGGCACAUUUCCAACAAUCUCCCAUUUGCACUAGAGCCAAUCAGCUUGGUCAUCUUGAUGAUACCUCUUUUGUAGUCAUUUCAUAAAUGGCUGAAUAGUAGGCCUAGGCAGUGGAUAUCUAUAUGUGUUAUCCACAGAAGCAACCUUGAGAAUAACGACGUCACCAUUAUACAUGAUUCUUAAUCAUGUGGUUCAGUCUCUCAUUUGUGUUCGGAUCUUGAUGAGACCUUGAUUCCCAGGCUUGAGCUAUCGCCCU
rnacentral:lncRNA from 1 species